CCACAUGUCCACAUCCUGUUUCUGGGUUCCUGCACAAAACUUUUCUGUUUUCUGGACUUAAGCAGAAGUUAAACCUGAAUCCUUUGAGCUCGACACACUUUAAGCUUCUCACUCUUUGAAAAUGAUGCAGCUAUGAUAAAAAAAACUGUAAAUUUAACAUUAAACAUAAAGUUUUACGCAAAUAUUUGAGAAAAAUAAUGUGGUAUUUAUGCUGCCUAUAAACAAGAAGGCCAUUGGUUGAGAUUAAUGCGAGUUAGUUUAUUAACAAAUAGUUUUACAAUUUUAAAGAUUUCCAUUCCUUUCAGUUUGACAUUUUACACAAAGUUAACAAAAUAAAAGGUUUGAAAAGUCAACAUAUCCUGAAUGAGAUGAAUAAGUUGGGAUUAAAAUGGAAAGUUUUAGCAGGGAUAACUCAGUUUGUGUUGAAUUUUAAGGUUUUAGUUCAUUUUAAUGUGGUUGUUUUUUUCCUCUAAAUAUUGGUGAAAAGGUUUAAUCAGCUUUAGAG